rnacentral:pre_miRNA from 1 species
UUUUGUGUGUAAGUAUGUCUCAUGCCAUAUUUGGGACAUACUUAUACGAAAA